AUCAAAUUCCGGCGUAUAGGCCACUUUAUCCGGCAGGGUAGGUCUCGGGCACUCUGCCCGCAUCCUCUUACGGAUGUGUUUUUCCAAAGGUUUCCUGAUCCAGAAAUGCAUGAAGCGGAGGAGAUUAUCCGGAGGGGCCCACUCACCCGAACGAGGGUGGCGAAUCUUCCUGGGAUCAAACAUUCUCUGGUCAGUGGAGUCCAGGAAUAUCUCCUGCUCCUGCGUGGCCGUGGCGGGGGGUUCCG